AUAAUUUUGUUCAUAAUGAAAAUAAUUCGAAUUGAACGACAUCCAUAUUUCAUCCUUUAUUAUUUUCAAAACGAUCGAGAAAAAUAACAAUUGAACGUUGAAUGAAUUCAUUUUAUAGAGACAGGAAGACAGACAGAGAGAGAGAGAGAGAGAGAGAGAGAGAGAGAGAGAGAGAGAGAGAGAGAGAGAGAAAGUUAUCGUGGACAAUAAAAAUAGAAUUAACAAAAAGAAAAAAGAAAAAUAAAAAGAAAAAGAAGAGAAAAUGGGAUGAAAAUAAAAAUAAAAAAAAAAAAAAAAAUAUAUAGUGAAUGAACAGGAAGGAAGAUCAAUUGGCAUGCGGUAGAAGGUAAAGGAUAAAGAGAUGGCUGCCUCGUGUCGAUGAUGGUGCUCCCUUCUAACAUCGAGCUCUGUAAUUAUCGCCAUCGGCCGUGGGAAUUGAAUUACGAGUCGAUAAAGAUCGAAGGAAGCGAUACGCAGGCGAUAGGUUUUGACAGAAAGGCAAGGUAAGAUCAUCGAUCCAAGCAAGUCGCAGGCGCAAACAGGUUGCUGUGGUCGCGAGAACGCGCCAGGAGAAGAGAUCGUGAAAGCAUCGAACAGGUUCGCAGGAGGUUCCAGAGAAGAGUGAGCACGCCCGCGAACAGCUUCAAAAGAUAAUAGCUCGCGCGCAUGCGCUCGGACCGGGCGAAUGUAUUCUCGAGUAUCAAGUCAAAAUGAUGAUGAUGGGGUUUGAACGACGUCGACGCCUCGAAGCUAAAGAGAGAAGAAAAGGAGAUGAGUUGCAGAUAAAUGCUGCAACGAGGGAUAAGAGGGAAGGAGAUAAAAAAGGCAGUGGAAGAGAAAGAGAGAGAGACAGAGAGAGAGAGACAGAGAGAGAGAGAGAGAGAGAGAGAGAGAGAAAGAUGACAGAUUAUACAAUAUUGCCAGCUAACAUCAGAGCUAAGUUCCCGGAAGCAUGAGGUCAUCUCUGGCGAGCUAACAACUUCCUCUUAACUCCAAAAUGAAGAUGCUUUCUCUUGGGAACCGUAAACGACGAUCGCGAUUCGACGUUUCUUAAAGAGAUAAUCUACAUUGAGAUUUGAGAAACCAAGUGUUUUUAUCGAGAGUGCCUCUCGUUUGACUGAACAGGAUCAUCCAUUAAAUACUAUGAGAAUACGAGCUCGUUAUCAUCGUAUUAAUAAUAAUUCAUUGGAAGAGAAAUAACGUUCAGAUUGACCGGAGAUUGACGGGGGAAGAAUAUUGUACAAGACAAAGGAGUCCCAUAUGAAGGCACACGCACGGAAGUCAACUGUCCGUGGACGACAAAUCGUUUAACUUCAAUAUGAGUCAUGGUACACUUCGUUGGAUAAUAUAAUUAUUCUUUGAGUUCAUCAAAGCAGCAUGAAAUCUUAUCAGAAGGAUGGGAACACUUGGAAAUCAUCGGACCAUCAAUUUAAGAAAUACAAAGAAUACAGAAUUAUCAUCAAGAGGAUAUGGAAUAAUCGGAAAUCAUUUGUAACAUUAUAAAAUACAAUUAUCUGUAAAAUAAAGCAUUGUGAAAGAGAGAAAAUGAGAGAGACAGAGAGUAUGUGAGAGAGACAAAAAAAGAGAGAAAGAGAGAGUUAAACUUCAUUAUAGCUGUACUUAAAGACCAACAAUGCAUUGUAUUGCGUUAUCUCACAAAUAAUUAUAUAAUUUUGUAAAAAGCACCUAUUAUAUUACUUGCAAAUUAUCUGUAUCGAAAGCGACUAGUUGUAUAAUUAUUGAAUGCAAUGUAUUUCUCAUGUAUUCCAGAUGGAAAAAAUAUAAAUAAAAAUGUUUUAUAUGAACAGAAACCAAAUGUGUUUUUCAUUAAAUACACCUGAAAACCGUCUCAACUCCUUGAAAGUUAUAUUCCCCUGUUUAAAAAUACUAACUACAGAGAGAGAAGAAAAAUAUCCCGCAAAUCUAAAUUUGUAACAGGAUCGCAUGACGCGCAAAGAGG